rnacentral:sRNA from 1 species
UAGUUCAAAUGACCUCUUAAACAUGGCCAGUGACAGUUACAGAACUCUAAAUGGUGGUUAAUCUAGUUACAAGCAUUUUAUAUUAAGUCACCCUUAAAUGGGAACAUACUCAUUGAAAAUCAAAGAGUGCCAGCUUCUCUCAGGGCACCAGAGCCUCUUUUCUCAUGAGGAGUGACACAGCUGUACAAAAACUUGCCCAGGGCAAUGGACACUGUGUCAACGGGGUCAGUGGUCAAGUCCAUGGCUUCUAUAGCCUUCCCAAGCCGAGCCGGCACAAUACAGAAUUCAGAGACAGUACCUAUGACCUCCCCCGCAGCCUGGCCUCCCAUGGCCACACCAAGGGCAGCCUCACAGGCUCCGAGACAGAUAAUGAGGAUGUGUACACCUUCAAGACGCCCAGCAACACCCUGUGCAGGGAGUUUGGGGACCUCCUGGUAGACAAUAUGGAUGUUCCGGCCACCCCACUCUCAGCCUACCAGAUCCCUAGGACAUUCACUCUGGACAAAAACCACAAUGCCAUGACAGUGGCCACUCCUGGGGACUCAGCCAUAGCUCC